GUAGGGGGGCAAGCGUUGUCCGGAAUUAUUGGGCGUAAAGCGCGCGCAGGGCGGCUAUUUAAGUCUGGGUGUUUAAACCUUGGGGCUCAACCUGAGGUCGCACUGGAAACUGGGUGGCUUGAGUACAGAAGAGGAAAGUGGAAUUCCACGUGUAGCGGUGAAAUGCGUAGAGAUGUGGAGGAACACCAGUGGCGAAGGCGACUUUCUGGGCUGUAACUGACGCUGAGGCGCGAAAGCGUGGGGAGCAAACAGGAUUAGAUACCCUGGUAGUCCACGCCGUAAACGAUGAGUGCUAGGUGUUAGGGGUUUCGAUACCCUUGGUGCCGAAGUUAACACAGUAAGCACUCCGCCUGGGGAGUACGGUCGCAAAGACUG
rnacentral:rRNA from 1 species